rnacentral:rRNA from 1 species
UGGGGAAUAUUGCACAAUGGGGGGAGCCGUGAUGCAGAUACGCCGCGUGAGCGAAGAAGCAAUUAGAAUUGUAAAGCUCGAUCGUAUGCGAAGAUAAGGACGGUAUCCUAGGAGGAAGCCCCGGCUAAAUACCAGCCAGCAGCCGCGGUAAUAGGUAUGGGGCGAGCUCUGUCCGGAAUUAUUGGGAAUAAAGGGCAGGUAGGCGGUUAAUUAAGUCAGGAAAGAAAGCGGGUGGAUUAACCUCAUUAAGCACAUGAAUCAGGAAGACGUGAGGGAAGGAGAGGAAAAAGGAAUUCCUAGGGUAGCGAAGAAAUGGGUAGAUAGUAGGACGAAUACCGGUGGAGAAGGUGUCUUUUUGGAAUUUUACGGACGGUCAGGUAAGAAAGGGGGGGGAGCAAACAGGAUUAGAUACCUAGGUCGUCCACUCCGUAAACGAUGAAUGGUAGGUGNNGGGAGUCAAAUCUCGGUGCCGAAGUUAACACAUUAAGCAUUCCGCCUGGGGAGUACGGUGGCAACACUG